CCAACUAUUCUUGAUGGUGAUACUCUGAGCUUUUCAGGUGAAACCAACAGAAAUUCUCUUGAAGCCAUGGUGAAGAGCACAGGAAAAGAAUCAUUACAAUGGGGACUGGCUGGUGGAGUGUAUUCAGGUCUCACCUAUGGACUGGCCGAAGCUUGAGGAGCUCAUGAUUGGCUGGUGGAAUGGAGAGUAUGUCUAAUACUCCUAAGUACCUUCCAGAUGUAAGGUCAGCCCAUUUUGCUUCUGGAACUGGAAAAAUUUGAAGCUUAAUAUUUAACUCUAGUCUAGUUACGAAAUGGUUCAAUGUGCUCAACUUGGUCAUGUAUGGCAAUUAAUUAUUAACAACUCAAAUGGACCGUACAUGAG